UGCUCCAGAAGGAAAGGGCAGCUCUGAAGGACAUUAGUCCUGAGGAAGUGCAAUAGACCACCUCAGCCUGCUUGAUCUUUCCAACCCCAGACUCUGCCGCUUUUAAUAUAGGCAGAGGGCUGGCAGGUGGGACAUGUGAGAGCAGAAGAGGUGGGUCCAUGGGAAGAGGACAGCCCGCAGCUCCAGUAUUCAGGCACCAGAUGGCAUUUCUUUGGGAACCCGAAGGAUUUCUGCUCUAGGGCUUGUUUUCAGGCUUAGGACAUGUGAGGAARGAAGAGCCUGAAGAGGCAGAUGGAAUGGAAGAAAAGGCAAAGAGGCUGUAGACAAGUGGACAGGCUGCUUAAAAGAUUGACUAUUGCAUGCUGUGUGGAAAGAUUGAAUGAAAGAUUGYACUUAUGUGCACCAGAACUGCACACCUCUCUUCCCUGCAUAUGUUAAAUGGCAUUUGUUACUCCUUAGGAGCCCUCCUUUAUGUAAACUUCCGCAUAGCUCUGUACUACAUCCUUAUGGCCCCAUCUGC